GAACUGNUAAGCUAGAGUAUGUCAGAGGGGGGUAGAAUUCCACGUGUAGCAGUGAAAUGCGUAGAGAUGUGGAGGAAUACCGAUGGCGAAGGCAGCCCCCUGGGAUAAUACUGACGUUCAUGCUCGAAAGCGUGGGUAGCAAACAGGAUUAGAUACCCUGGUAGUCCACGCCCUAAACGAUGUCAAUUAGCUGUUGGGGCACUUGAUGCCUUAGUAGCGAAGCUAACGCGUGAAAUUGACCGCCUGGGGAGUACGGUCGCAAGAUUAAAACUCAAAGGAAUUGACGGGGACCCGCACAAGCGGUGGAUGAUGUGGAUUAAUUCGAUGCAACGCGAAGAACCUUACCUGGUCUUGACAUGUACGGAAUCUUCCAGAGACGGAAGAGUGCCUUCGGGAGCCGUAACACAGGUGCUGCAUGGCUGUCGUCAGCUCGUGUCGUGAGAUGUUGGGUUAAGUCCCGCAACGAGCGCAACCCUUGUCAUUAGUUGCCACCAUUUAGUUGGGCACUCUAAUGAGACUGCCGGUGACAAACCGGAGGAAGGUGGGGAUGACGUCAAGUCCUCAUGGCCCUUAUGACCAGGGCUUCACACGUCAUACAAUGGUCGGUACAGAGGGUAGCCAAGCCGCGAGAUGGAGCCAAUCUCAGAAAACCGAUCGUAGUCCGGAUUGCACUCUGCAACUCGAGUGCAUGAAGUCGGAAUCGCUAGUAAUCGCAGGUCAGCAUACUGCGGUGAAUACGUUCCCGGGUCUUGUACACACCGCCCGUCACACCAUGGGAGUGGGGGAUACCAGAAGUAGG
rnacentral:rRNA from 1 species